UGGGGAAUUUUGGACAAUGGGGGAAACCCUGAUCCAGCCAUCCCGCGUGUGCGAUGAAGGCCUUCGGGUUGUAAAGCACUUUUGGCAGGAAAGAAACGUCAUGGGUUAAUACCCCGUGAAACUGACGGUACCUGCAGAAUAAGCACCGGCUAACUACGUGCCAGCAGCCGCGGUAAUACGUAGGGUGCAAGCGUUAAUCGGAAUUACUGGGCGUAAAGCGUUCGCAGGCGGUUCGGAAAGAAAGAUGUGAAAUCCCAGAGCUCAACUUUGGAACUGCAUUUUUAACUACCGGGCUAGAGUGUGUCAGAGGAAGGUGGAAUUCCGCUUGUAGCAGUGAAACGCGUAGAUAUGCGGAGGAACACCGAUGGCGAAGGCAGCCUCCUGGGAUAACACUGACGCUCAUGCACGAAAGCGUGGGGAGCAAACAGG
rnacentral:rRNA from 1 species